rnacentral:rRNA from 1 species
GUAGUCCACGCUGUAAACGAUGAGAACUAGUUAGGGGGGGUGUAGACCCCCUCCCUGACGCAGCUAACGCAUUAAGUUCUCCGCCUGGGGAGUACGGUCGCAAGACUAAAACUCAAAGGAAUUGACGGGGGCCCGCACAAGCGGUGGAUUAUGUGGUUUAAUUCGAAGCAACGCGCAGAACCUUACCUGGGUUUGAAAUCCACAGAAUUUUUUAGAGAUAGAAAAGUGCCCGCAAGGGAACUGUGAGACAGGCGCUGCAUGGCUGUCGUCAGCUCGUGUUGUGAAAUGUUGGGUUAAGUCUCGCAACGAGCGCAACCCCUAUUCUUAGUUGCCAGCAUUAAGUUGGGCACUCUAAGGAGACUGCCUGGGUGAACCAGGA